GAUGAACGCUGGCGGCGUGCUUAACACAUGCAAGUCGAACGAUGAAGCUCAGCUUGCUGGGUGGAUUAGUGGCGAACGGGUGAGUAACACGUGAGUAACCUGCCCUUCACUCUGGGAUAAGCCUGGGAAACUAGGUCUAAUACCGGAUAGGAGCGUCCACCGCAUGGUGGGUGUUGGAAAGAUUUAUCGGUUUUGGAUGGACUCGCGGCCUAUCAGCUUGUUGGUGAGGUAAUGGCUCACCAAGGCGACGUCGGGUAGCCGGCCUGAGAGGGUGACCGGCCACACUGGGACUGAGACACGGCCCAGACUCCUACGGGAGGCAGCAGUGGGGAAUAUUGCACAAUGGGCGAAAGCCUGAUGCAGCGACGCCGCGUGAGGGAUGACGGCCUUCGGGUUGUAAACCUCUUUCAGUAGGGAAGAAGCGAAAGUGACGGUACCUUCAGAAGAAGCACCGGCUAACUACGUG
rnacentral:rRNA from 1 species